AGAAUACCCCCAGACCCCCCUACUAGUACAUACGAUACCACACCAAACUUUUUGUCACCAACAACCAUCUGUCAUCUCUCCACACUCAAUAUAGUAUAGUCCCUUUUUGUAGAUGCCCACCCCCCAGACAAGUUCUUAAAAAAAACCUGUGUUCAAAUCAUUUCGCUGUAUGAAGACGGGUCAUGGGUUAGGGUUAUGGUAGGACAAAUGUUGCAUUGCAAAGUAGUAACACAUAAUAUAUAUUUUUAAUCAUAUAUGGUUGAAUCAUAUUCACCAGGGUAAAACAUCAUGAGCUAGAUUAAACAGAUUGUCCUAAUAUCUAACUUUACCUGCAACGCACACCUGUUUCAUUGCUGUUAAUUUUUCAAUCCACACUGGGGGGGGGUGUCAGAAAAGUUUCUACUUUUAUGAGGGGGGAGGCACAAAAAGUUUGCCUUCAGUCUGGAGGGGGGUCAAAAAAGUUUUCAAUCCUUAUUUUCCCCAUUUCCCAACCCCCCCUCCCCAUAAAUAAUGACCACUCCCU